GGUUAUGGCUCAGUGGUAGAGCUCGCCUAGCAUAUGUGAGGCCCUGGGUUCGAUCCUCAGCACCA
rnacentral:tRNA from 1 species